UACGAAGGGGGCUAGCGUUACUCGGAAUGACUGGGCGUAAAGGGCGCGUAGGCGGUUUGUUUAGUUAGGCGUGAAAUUCCUGGGCUCAACCUGGGGGCUGCGCUUAAUACAGGCAGACUAGAGUGUGAAAGAGGGUCGUGGAAUUUCCAGUGUAGAGGUGAAAUUCGUAGAUAUUGGAAAGAACACCGGUGGCGAAGGCGGCGACCUGGUUCGAUUACUGACGCUGAGGCGCGAAAGCGUGGGGAGCAAACAGG
rnacentral:rRNA from 1 species